CAUCAACUAUGCAAGGACUGUGCUCGUACAUGGAAGAUGCUCAUACAACUAUCCUAGAUCUAGAUCAUACCGGGUCCACAUCAUUCUUUGGUGUUUAUGAUGGCCAUGGAGAUAUAACGUGGAUUGUGCAAAAGUAAUACCUGCGAUGGACCAAACGUUUCAUGUGUUGGAGUUGUGAUUAUUGUACUCUGAAGUGUUGUGAUUUGUGAGGAAUAAUCAAAACUUUAUUCUGAUCUGUUAAUGACAGAGGUGGGGUGUAUAUUAUCACUGUGUUGAGUGUAUCACUUCUCUCCAGUGAUACCUAUUGAAUGGAUGUUCAGCUGCAGUGUUCAUCACAUUUUUUCGAAUAUAAGCUUCUAUGCACAUUCUAUUGAUUCCACGUUCCUCUGUUAUAUGUGUAUACUUAUAUGACAAUGCCAG